rnacentral:rRNA from 1 species
GUCACUGCUAUUGGGAUUCGACUAAGCCAUGCGAGUCGAGAGGGUUCGGCCCUCGGCUGACGGCUCAGUAACACGUGGAUAAUCUGCCCUUAGGUGGAGGAUAAUCUCGGGAAACUGAGAAUAAUACUCCAUAGAUCUAGGAUGCUGGAAUGUACUUAGAUUGAAAGCUCCGGCGCCUAAGGAUGAGUCUGCGGACUAUCAGGUAGUAGUCAGGGUAAAGACCUGACUAGCCUACGACGGAUACGGGUUGUGAGAGCAAUAACCCGGAGACGAUAUCUGAGACACGAUAUCGGGCCCUACGGGGCGCAGCAGGCGCGAAAACUUCACACUGUGCGAAAGCACGAUGAGGGAAUCCCAAGUGCCAACUCGUAAGAGUUGGCUGUUUUUCUGUCUAAAAAACAGAGAGAGUAAGAGCUGGGUAAGACGGGUGCCAGCCGCCGCGGUAAUACCUGCAGCUCAAGUGGUGACCGCUAUUAUUGGGCCUAAAACGUCCGUAGCCGGUUUAAUAAAUGCCGGGGUAAAUCGUGUAGCUUAACUAUACGAAUUCCGGGUAGACUGUUAGACUUGAGACCGGGAGAAGCUAGAGGUACUCCUAGGGUAGAGGUGAAAUUCUGUAAUCCUAGGGGGACCACCAGUGGCGAAGGCGUCUAGCUAGAACGGGUCUGACGGUGAGGGACGAAGCCCUGGGGCGCAAACCGGAUUAGAUACCCGGGUAGUCCAGGGUGUAAACUCUGCUUGCUUGAUGUUAGUUGGGCUCCGAGCCCAAUUAGUGUCGGAGAGAAGUUGUUAAGCAAGCUGCCUGGGAAGUACGGCCGCAAGACUGAAACUUAA